rnacentral:rRNA from 1 species
UACGAAGGGGGCUAGCGUUGUUCGGAAUUACUGGGCGUAAAGGGCGCGUAGGCGGCCGAUUUAGUCAGGUGUGAAAGCCCAGGGCUCAACCCUGGAAUAGCACUUGAUACUGGUUGGCUUGAGUACGGGAGAGGAUAGUGGAAUUCCCAGUGUAGAGGUGAAAUUCGUAGAUAUUGGGAAGAACACCGGUGGCGAAGGCGGCUAUCUGGACCGUAACUGACGCUGAGGCGCGAAAGCGUGGGGAGCAAACAGG